AGUGAACGCUGGCGGUAGGCCUAACACAUGCAAGUCGAACGGCAGCACAGUAAGAGCUUGCUCUUACGGGUGGCGAGUGGCGGACGGGUGAGGAAUACAUCGGAAUCUACUUUUUCGUGGGGGAUAACGUAGGGAAACUUACGCUAAUACCGCAUACGACCUACGGGUGAAAGCAGGGGAUCUUCGGACCUUGCGCGAUUGAAUGAGCCGAUGUCGGAUUAGCUAGUUGGCGGGGUAAAGGCCCACCAAGGCGACGAUCCGUAGCUGGUCUGAGAGGAUGAUCAGCCACACGGGAACUGAGACACGGUCCAGACUCCUACGGGAGGCAGCAGUGGGGAAUAUUAGGCAAUGGGCGCAAGCCUGAUCCAGCCAUACCGCGUGGGUGAAGAAGGCCUUCGGGUUGUAAAGCCCUUUUGUUGGGAAAGAAAAGCAGCAGGUUAAUACCACGCUGUUCUGACGGUACCCAAAGAAUAAGCACCGGCUAACUUCGUG
rnacentral:rRNA from 1 species